rnacentral:rRNA from 1 species
CCAGGACCAAGGUCAGCAGCAGGCGCGAAAAUUAUCGAAGCCCGCCUAGGGGCGAUAGUGAGGAGACGUGUAUAACGAAGUACGUGUAAAGAACGUGCUAAUAACUGGAGGUCAAGUCUGGUGCCAGCAUCCGCGGUAAUUCCAGCUCCAGGGGUGUCUAUGAUGAUUGCUGCGAUUAAAAAGUCCGUAGUCAAUCUGACUGACUGACCUGCAAUGUGAUUGAUUAAAGAACGAGCAGGGUUAGGAAAGCAGAGAAUUAGGAGCGACCGAGGGCUAGAGUAUUGAAUGGCGAGAGGUGAAAUUUGAUGACCCAUUCAGGAGUGACAAAGGCGAAGGCACUAGUCAAGGGCGAAUCCGAUGAUCAAGGACGUAGGCUAGAGUUUCGAAAACGAUUAGAGACCGGAGUAGUUCUAGCAGUAAACUAUGCCGACGCCGUGGUAUUAUUUUAGUAUUGCGGAAGAGAAAUCAAGUAAGGCUUUGGGGAGAGUACGCGCGCAAGCGAUAAAUU